AACGAACGCUGGCGGCAGGCUUAACACAUGCAAGUCGAACGGGCAUAGCAAUAUGUCAGUGGCAGACGGGUGAGUAACACGUGGGAACCUUCCUAGAGGUACGGAACAACUCAGGGAAACUUGAGCUAAUACCGUAUACGCUCUUGCGAGGAAAGAUUUAUCGCCUUUAGACGGGCCCGCGUAGGAUUAGGUAGUUGGUGGGGUAAUGGCCUACCAAGCCUACGAUCCUUAGCUGAUCUGAGAGGAUGAUCAGCCACACUGGGACUGAGACACGGCCCAGACUCCUACGGGAGGCAGCAGUGGGGAAUAUUGGACAAUGGGCGCAAGCCUGAUCCAGCCAUGCCGCGUGAGUGAUGAAGGCCUUAGGGUUGUAAAGCUCUUUCGCCGAUGAAGAUAAUGACGGUAGUCGGAGAAGAAGCCCCGGCUAACUUCGUGCCAGCCGCCGCAGUAA
rnacentral:rRNA from 1 species